rnacentral:rRNA from 1 species
AGGCGUUGUUCGGAAUUACUGGGCGUAAAGGGCUCGUAGGCGGCCAACUAAGUCGGACGUGAAAUCCCCAGGCUCAACCUGGGAACUGCGUCCGAUACUGGAUGGCUUGAAUCCGGGAGAGGGAUGCAGAAUUCCAGGUGUAGCGGUGAAAUGCGUAGAUAUCUGGAGGAAUACCGGUGGCGAAGGCGGCAUCCUGGACCGGCAUUGACGCUGAGGAGCGAAAGCCAGGGGAGCAAACGGG